ACACUCCUACGGGAGGCAGCAGUGGGGAAUUUUGGACAAUGGGCGAAAGCCUGAUCCAGCAAUGCCGCGUGAGUGAAGAAGGCCUUCGGGUUGUAAAGCUCUUUUGUCAGGGAAGAAACGGUGAAAGCUAAUAUCUUUUGCUAAUGACGGUACCUGAAGAAUAAGCACCGGCUAACUACGUGCCAGCAGCCGCGGUAAUACGUAGGGUGCAAGCGUUAAUCGGAAUUACUGGGCGUAAAGCGUGCGCAGGCGGUUUUGUAAGUCUGAUGUGAAAUCCCCGGGCUCAACCUGGGAAUUGCAUUGGAGACUGCAAGGCUAGAAUCUGGCAGAGGGGGGUAGAAUUCCACGUGUAGCAGUGAAAUGCGUAGAUAUGUGGAGGAACACCGAUGGCGAAGGCAGCCCCCUGGGUCAAGAUUGACGCUCAUGCACGAAAGCGUGGGUAGCAAACAGGAUUAGAAACCCCGGUAGUCCCAUGAU
rnacentral:rRNA from 1 species